GCCGGGGUGGUGUAAUCGGGAAACACACCGCACGUCCUAAGGAAUUCUGGGUUCGAACCCCAGCCCCGGUG